AAAGCCAUCCACUUAUAUAUAUCAUCCUAUAAGCAUUGAGGGUAGUUAAGCUGUGUUGACCCUAAGGAAUCAGUCAUGCAGUUAAAGUCAAUACUAUAUGCUCUCCAUCCAUUGAUCUUAGCUACUUCUACCCUUAGAAGUAUGCAACCACUUUGCCACAUUCUCCCUGUGCUACUUCUGUUCCUAGAAAUACCUCCCACAUAUACGCACUACACUCUGUUGUUUCUAUCCUAGAGACAUGCACCUAUGCUGCUCCUACCCUAGUAGUACGCAUUUAUCCAUCCAUAUAUACAUAUUCCUCAUCUACUUAGAAAAUGUUCUACUUCUACACUAGGAGAGGACACCCAAAAAUAUUCAUUGCCAUUAUGUCUUUUUCUACUUAUCCAAUAAAGCUCCAGUUAUUUUAGUUGAUGCUCCCUACUGCUAUUAGUGCAUUAAAAGGAUUGGUUAUUCUAAAAAAGGAGAAGAAAAGAAAGAGGACAAAAGUCCCAAAAGAAAAAGAAAAGAAAAGGUAGCCAACUCCUUUUUAGAUUAGGGAGGUAUGUUAUCCCCAAGGAGCAAAUGUAGAAUUAGAUAUUCAGUCAUCAUCCCUUAUUAUCACCAUCAUUCUUAUCACUCAUUUCAUUCACUGCACUCACAUGCACAUAUGACUUGAUUGUAUGACUAGUUUCUCU
rnacentral:lncRNA from 1 species